AGGGGCCUCGCUGCUGGAGGACCCACCUGGUGUCGGCAACAUGGCAGCGUCCAGCCGGGCCCAGGUGCUGCGAUUGUACCGGGCCCUACUGCGGGAGAGCCAGCGCUUCAGCAGCUAUAAUUACAGAACAUAUGCCAUCAGAAGGAUAAGAGAUGCCUUCAGAGAAAACAAGAAUGUAAAGGAUUCUGGGAAAAUAGAAGAACUACUGAAUAAAGCCAAAGCAAACCUAGAGGUUAUUCAUCGGCAGGCUACAUGACAUUCUUCGUUGUCAAAAGACUGACUCUUUGCUCUCCUAUGACAUCCCGAUAUUUAGCAUACUAGUGAGACACUGAAUUCUUAUAGACCAGAUAAUGGAAAGUCAGGUUACUAUUGGGCAACUCUAUUCCACGCAGAAACUGGUUAUUGAGAGUCCAGAAAACACAUAGGUAUGAGAAGACUCCAAUCCUGAAGCGACACUGGACCAUCAUCAGCAUCCUACAGUGCCACAUACAGAAGCGUAAACUCACUGCACAUGUCUGAGCUUUUCUGUUCAGCAGAAGAAAUGCCUGAGAGACUCAGUUUUUGGCAACCAAAGUACUAUUUUCUAAUGGUUCACAUGUUCUAAAAUAUAUUGCUGUGAUUUAUGAUAGCAUGUAAGGUAGUCUUGAAAUGCGUGUGCUUGUGUGUUCCAUGUGAUGGAAUAGUUCCUGCCCUACUUUGACAAUAAAAUUUCAUUAAACUAGCUGUAACUAGA